GCCGAGGUGGCGGAAUUGGCAGACGCGCAUGGUUGAGGUCCAUGUGGGUUCUAGCCCGUGCGGGUUCAAGUCCCGCCCUCGGCA
rnacentral:tRNA from 1 species